CCAUGCCCCGAGGGACAGGCUGGGCCCGCCGCGCGGGACCGGACUUCGGGUUGGCGCAGUCUCAUACACCCUGAACGACUGGGUCCAGAGAAACAGCAAAGGAAGUAAGGUGACCAGCCCCUCAGCCCCGAGCCCUGCAUGCCAGGGAUGAACCCAGGACCUUACAGGUACUAGCCAAAUGUUUCAACUCUGAGCUCUGUCUCCAAGCCACAACCUCAAGGAUGUUUUAGAUGCCAAUAAUGACUUUGUGCCACUGAUAAGCCUUUCUCUGGUGUUCUCUGUGACCUCUGCCAGGACCCAGCAUGAGUACAGGCUUGAAGAAGACUUGAGUGCCACUGAGAAUAUCUAGUGAUUUCUAAGGGGUAUUACAAGCCUUGACUGAGACUUGAGGGAGGAGGCGG
rnacentral:sRNA from 1 species